rnacentral:rRNA from 1 species
AUUGAACGCUGGCGGCAUGCCUUACACAUGCAAGUCGAACGGCAGCACGGGAGCAAUCCUGGUGGCGAGUGGCGAACGGGUGAGUAAAGUAUCGGAACGUGCCCAGUCGUGGGGGAUAACGUAGCGAAAGUUACGCUAAUACCGCAUACGAUCUAUGGAUGAAAGCGGGGGAUCGCAAGACCUCGCGCGAUUGGAGCGGCCGAUAUCAGAUUAGGGAGUUGGUGGGGUAAAGGCUCACCAAGCCGACGAUCUGUAGCUGGUCUGAGAGGACGACCAGCCACACUGGGACGUAGACACGGCCCAGACGCCUACGGGAGGCAGCAGUGGGGAAUUUUGGACAAUGGGCGAAAGCCUGAUCCAGCCAUGCCGCGUGCAGGAUGAAGGCCUUCGGGUUGUAAACUGCUUUUGUACGGAACGAAAAGGUUUGGCCUAAUAAGCUGAGCUCAUGACGGUACCGUAAGAAUAAGCACCGGCUAACUACGUGCCAGCCGCCGCAGUAA